rnacentral:rRNA from 1 species
AGCGGAGGAAAAGAAACCAACAGGGAUUGCCCCAGUAACGGCGAGUGAAGCGGCAACAGCUCAAAUUUGAAAUCUGGCCCUUGGGUCCGAGUUGUAAUUUGUAGAGGAUGCUUUUGGCGAGGUGCCUUCCGAGUUCCCUGGAACGGGACGCCAUAGAGGGUGAGAGCCCCGUCUGGUCGGACACCGAGCCUCUGUAAAGCUCCUUCGACGAGUCGAGUAGUUUGGGAAUGCUGCUCAAAAUGGGAGGUAUAUGUCUUCUAAAGCUAAAUAUUGGCCAGAGACCGAUAGCGCACAAGUAGAGUGAUCGAAAGAUGAAAAGCACUUUGAAAAGAGGGUUAAAAAGUACGUGAAAUUGUUGAAAGGGAAGCGCCUAUGACCAGACUUGGGCCCGGUGAAUCAUCCAGCGUUCUCGCUGGUGCACUUUGCCGGGCACAGGCCAGCAUCAGUUUGGCGCGGGGGAAAAAGGUUCUGGGAAUGUGGCUCCCUCGGGAGUGUUAUAGCCCAUUGCGUAAUACCCUGCGCCGGACUGAGGUACGCGCAUUGCAAGGAUGCUGGCGUAAUGGUCAUCAGCGACCCGUCUUGAAACACGGACCAAGGAGUCGUCUUCGUAUGCGAGUGUUCGGGUGUCAAACCCCUACGCGUAAUGAAAGUGAACGCAGGUGAGAGCUUCGGCGCAUCAUCGACCGAUCCUGAUGUUCUCGGAUGGAUUUGAGUAAGAGCAUACGGGGCCGGACCCGAAAGAAGGUGAACUAUGCCUGUAUAGGGUGAAGCCAGAGGAAACUCUGGUGGAGGCUCGCAGCGGUUCUGACGUGCGAAUCGAUCGUCAAAUAUGGGCAUGGGGGCGAAAGACUAAUCGAACCUUCUAGUAGCUGGUUCGC